rnacentral:sRNA from 1 species
GCCGGGUGUGGUGGUGCAUGCCUGUAAUCCCAGCGGCUUGGGAGACUGAGGCAGGAGAAUCGCAAGUUCAAAGCCAGCCUCAGCAAAAGAGAGGUACUAAGCAACUCAGCGAGACCCUGUCUCUA